CUUCAGAGAAUAUUUGGUGAACUUCAGAGAAUUGAGGAACUUCAGAGAAAUAAUGGUAUACUUCAGAGAAAUAAUGAUGAACUUCAGAAAAGAUGUGGUGAACUUCAGAGAUAUAACGAAGAACUUCAGGGAGAAAUUGGUAGGAGGAAGGCUCAAUAUAUGUUAGACUGGAGGAAAGCAGCAUUAUAUGCUGAUUGGAGGAAAGAAGAGUUCCUGGCUGUAAACGUGACCCUGGAUGCAGAAACUGCACAUCCUGCGCUCUUCCUGUCUGAACAGAGACGUGUAACCUGGCAAGAAGAGAAGCAAGAUCUCCCUGACUGCCCACAGAGAUUUGAUUCCCUUCCCUGUGUGCUGGGUCAACUGAGUAUCACCUCGGGGAGAUAUUACUGGGAAGUAGAUAUUGGGGACACAGUUUCCUGUGAUCUAGGAAUCUGUAGGGACAAUGUUACAAGGAAGGGGAUAGUAACAAUGUCACCACAAAAUGGUUUCUGGGCCAUCAGGCUUUAUGAGGGGGAUUUCUGGGCUCUUACUUCCCCAGAAACUCAUCUUACUCUGAGACAGCACCCCCGAAGGGUGGGGUUAUUCCUAAAUUAUGAAGAUAGAGAAGUGUCAUUCUAUAACAUGACAGAUGGAUCCCAUAUUUACACCUUUACCCAAAAUGUAUUCCAAGGUGCCUUAAGACCUCUUUUCGGGCUUUGUAAGUCUGACUCAGGCACCUUGACCAUUGUCCACUGAAGGAGAGCAUAGUGAUGUUGUAAUUCAGAAGUGCACCCCAUUUCACAAAAAAUGACUUUGAGCCCCAAUGUUGAUUGCCAUUCCAGCUAACUAUUGAGAAAUUGCAUUUUUUUCUUUAUCUUGAUUGGUUCAUUGUCAAAAUGAAGCUGGGGAGUGGGACACAGAUUUCUGAUUGUUCCUUACCACUAAUUUUUCUCAUCCUCAGUAAUAGACUUCCUGACCAAUGAUAGUCUAGUUUAAUAUUAGAUUUCCUAGCCUCCUUUGCUGCAUGUGACUAGACGUUGGCCAGUAUAAUGUAUGCUGAAUUGUGUAUUCUGACUUCUGAUAUUUUCCUUUAAAGGGAAAUUGUAUGUCUUCCUUUGUGGUUCACUUUUUCUGCUGGCUUAUACGAAAUGAUGCAUAAUUACUUGAAGCAUAUUUUUGAGCAGGAAAUAAGAGAUGGAUAACAGACAUUUUGAUUAUUAAUUUUUGACAACUUAUUGUAAAUAUUCUUGCUUAAUACAAGACUUUUUUUCUUCGGAAAAUAAA